UAUGUUCUCACGGGAGAACACUGGUGACAAAUUCCUGUGCAUCCUGGACACCCGGUGAAUGCCAGGAGAGCUCGAAGGCUCUGUGGUUGACUGAAGAACCGCUUUAAGAAAUGUUAUACGUUCUCGCCGAGCCCAGUCUGCUGACCUUCAGGCCAUGGAGCGAAACCUUUCUUUUAAGUCAAGCAUCCCCCAUUGGGAAGCACUCCAGCUUUUUCUUUUUAUGAGGAAUUUUAACUGCUGGACUUAAUUUAAUUAUUGUAUUUUGUACAUACUCCCAGAAGCCCCAGGGCAUGAGCUUUGCUUUUUUCCAAACUUUCAAAUAAAUAUCUUUAGAAAUGCA